AUCCUUUGUUUGGUUCAUAACCAUGAUGAUUGAAUGCUCCUGCCACUGUGUGAGAUGUGCUUCCCACUAAACCUUGUAACAAAGUCAGUGCAUUACCCAGGAGAAG
rfam:Fukomys damarensis contig99301, whole genome shotgun sequence.